AUGACUUUAAAAAAAUAACGUCUUUCUUUAAUAAUUCUUUAUGCUACUAAAAUGAUGUUAUUUUUUCCUCAUAAUACUACGCCAUUCUCCUUCAUUUUUUCAUGUUCAAUUACAACUUUUUUUUCUUAAUAUUUAGACUUUAUUCCUGGAAAAUUACUGCAGAUUUUUCUAUUUUUGCUGUUAUUUAAAAAAAUUUGGUAAAUUAAAUUGUUAGAAGAAUUAAUUAAUUAAUUCAGGUGAAAAACAGUAUUGAAUUCAAGAAAGAACUUUUGACAAAACAGGAAGGUGGUGGUGGUUGAUCUAGCUGCAACCUGUCUUUGGGGACAGUCCCGCCAAGAAUCACGUCUUCAAGGAAGGUAAAAAUAACCUUAAAUGUUCAUUUAUCCCUUUUCAUUCGUCAUUUAUACGCAUUUAGAAUUGUUUUCUGCAUGUUAAAUUCAAAUUGUAAAACUAUAAAAACCUGUUUUGUCUUGGCUUUCUGGAACAGAUGAAUUGGAUUUACAUUGUUCUUUAUGGGAAAAAUGGAUUUGCUUAGUGUCCGUUUUGGGUAGAAUUGAAACUGUACAGUGUAUGCAUAUCUGAAUUGCACCUCUUUUAUAUAUUUUUUUCUGUUGUGUUAGAUUAGCAUAGUGUGUCUGCUUCCUGAUCCAGCGGUGGUGUUCUCCAGCUGACCCCCGACUCUCUGUGGAAUGCACGGCCAUAAAAAUGUAUUUUAGGUGUUUUUUUUUUUAACACUGUCCUCUCUCUGUCGCUCUCUCUUUCUUUAGCCUUCUUCACCUGCUUCAGUUCUUCUCCUCUUCAGAGUCCCUCCUCGCCCUCCUCGUCCACCAGAGAAGUCAAAGACAACAGAUGUGUGACCACUGACACCCUCAACAGCUGUCGAGCCUCCUAGCAGUUCGUCUUUGCUUUUUUGACCCCGCACAUAAAUAUCUUCCCGACUGACACCUCACAUACUCGCCGGACAAAAAAGGCGCAAGAAGAGGUGCAGGUGAGCGGAGGCAGGAAGCUAUGGACGGAUGGAAGCAGGAAUGUGACAGAUGGGUCGUGCCUGGCCAGAGCUAGCUGGGAGGGAGCGGAGAGAGGUUGGCAUCGCAGGGUUUCUUGGAGAAAAAUUAGGCGCUCAUCAGACUCGGGGACAAUGCCAUCAAGAUUAGGAGCCAGCUUAUGGCGUGAGUGUGCGUCGGGGGCUUACCGAGGAGACCAUCUGUGGCCUAAUGAACACUGCUCCUUGGCCGCCCAGCGCAGAGGCUUUUAAUGCAUCUACACGGGAGGAGGAGGGGAGGAGGUGCUCAACAAGCUGCUGCACAGUGCACACUUUUUUUUCUUUCUUUGCAAUUCCUCAAACGCAGCCUACACAUGCAGGAGUGCAGCCAAUAUGAAGGACCGAUGUGCACGCAG